rnacentral:rRNA from 1 species
CCCGACCUCGGAUCAGACGCGAAUACCCGCUGAACUUAAGCAUAUCAAUAAGCGGAGGAAAAGAAACUAACCAGGAUUCCCUUAGUAACGGCGAGUGAACAGGGAAGAGCCCAGCACCGAAGCCUGUGACCAUUUGGUUUCUAGGCAAUGUGGUGUUUAGGUCGUUCUACGGAGAUACUGACCCACCCUAAGUCCACUAUUGAGUGCGGCGCAAACCUGUCCCAUAGAGGGUGAUAGGCCCGUGAGGGUGGGGUUCAGACAGGCCAGUGUCUCCCUAGGUAGACCUUGGAGUCGGGUUGUUUGUGAAUGCAGCCCAAAGUGGGUGGUAAACUCCAUCCAAGGCUAAAUACUUGCACGAGUCCGAUAGCGAACAAGUACCGUGAGGGAAAGUUGAAAAGUACUUUGGAGAGAGAGUAAACAGUGCGUGAAACCGCUCAAAGGUAAACGGGUAGAGUUGAACUGCAAGCUUUGAGAAAUCAGCUGGUGAGUGUGGUAUGAUCUUGGUCAUAUGGGUUAGCAGCUGGAGUUCACGGUUCGCCGUGGGUCUGACCUUCUGGGAGGAUGCGUUAAGUGCUUAUCAUGCGCUGUGCGCUCCAGUUGCGUCGAAUCCGCUUGCCAGUGCAUGUUCUCAGAGUGUUCAUCACGACCGACGUUGUCGUGCGUCUGCUGUAUUCAAACCCGGCUUGCUUGGUCCUUGUGGCUUUGCAAGUUGGGGAUGGCAGGUAGCAUGAGGUGCACAUGCUGCGCUCCAUGUGUAAUGAGCUGAAUACAGCGGUUCUGUACGCAGCGUCGGAGACGGCGGCUGGGUAUAGGUGCGCAUUGCUAUGUUCGACAUAGCAGGCUCGGGUGUGGUUGUCAUGUGCUUGUUUCGGCAAGCCUGAUAACGGCCCGGGUUUGUGUUGUCGGCGGUGGUGUGUGCUAUACGCCCAUGGGCCAAUAGUCUGUGAUGUAGUGGUAGACGAUCUACCCGACCCGUCUUG